rnacentral:rRNA from 1 species
AACGAACGCUGGCGGCGCGCCUAACACAUGCAAGUCGAACGAGAAUCCGGGGCAACCCGGUAGUAAAGUGGCAAACGGGUGAGGAAUACAUGGGUAACCUACCCUUGAGAAGGGAAUAACCCGCCGAAAGGUGAGCUAAUACCCUAUACGCUAUCUUUUUUUCGAAAAGGAUAGGAAAGCCGGGUCGAGGACCUGGUACUCAAGGAGGGGCUCAUGUCCUAUCAGCUUGUUGGUGGGGUAACGGCCUACCAAGGCUACGACGGGUAGCUGGUCUGAGAGGAUGAUCAGCCACACUGGCACUGAGAUACGGGCCAGACUCCUACGGGAGGCAGCAGUGAGGAAUAUUGCGCAAUGGGCGAAAGCCUGACGCAGCGACGCCGCGUGGGGGAGUGAAGGUUUUCGGAUUGUAAACCCCUUUCCAUGAGGAAAGAUAAAGUGGGUAACCACUUAGACGGUACCUCAAGAAGAAGCCACGGCUAACUUCGUG